UCACUACUUGCGUAGGCAGUCCACUUAGAGUGCCCAGCUUGACCUGAUGGCAACUAAGUGCAGGGGUUGCGCUCGUUGCAGGACUUAACCUAACACCUCACGGCACGAGCUGACGACAGCCAUGCAGCACCUGUACAAGUGCGUAUUGCUACGAGAGCGACUUUCAUCGCCUGUCACUUGCCUUUCAAACCCAGGUAAGGUUCUUCGCGUUGCAUCGAAUUAAACCACAUGCUCCACUGCUUGUGCGGGCCCCCGUCAAUUCCUUUGAGUUUCAACCUUGCGAUCGUACUUCCCAGGUGGGAUACUUAAUGCGUUGGCUUGGACACCAAACCUUGCGGUCUGACAUCGAGUAUCCAUCGUUUAGGGCGUGGACUAC
rnacentral:misc_RNA from 1 species